CUGCUUCCCUGAAGAGAUCCUCCACUGCAAUAAAUCACAGUAAUUUUUCAGUUUGGCUUCACUGUCACAUGAUAAAGCAUCCAGUUGGGGGUUGAGCCUCCCGAGGUCUCCCCUGAGCCUCCAGCUGACUGCUUCCAUAGAAAAUAUCUGGCUCCUGUACCAGUACUUCCAGAAAGCGUUGGCCUGGAUUUUACCUUCUACCGCCUACCCUCUCAGACACCCUCCAUAACAGACAUUCCUGCCGCUCCAUCCUGGGCCCCCUAGCCCAGACUAUGGCCUGACAUCCCCCCACCCCAAGAGGGGGCUUGGUGACAAAUGGUAUCUGCCACUAUCACCUCUUUCUGAAAGUGUUUUGGAGGUGGGAUAGUACAAGAGAAAAUAAAUUCAACUGUGUCUUAAGCUCAAAGCCUACAAAAACUGCCAUUGUUCUCUAAUAUUGCUCAGAAAAAGAAAGAAACCUACAUUUACUGGUUCUGGAUUCCUGGGGUAAAAUACAAGCUUGUCCCAGGAGUUGACAAGGAGAGCCAGUUCAGUUGACACUUCUCAAUGGUGGCUUCUCAGGACCCGCCUCACCCUCUUACAAAACUCUCUCACUCUAUGUCAACUCUGCCAGCCCCAGACAGCCCCAGCACAACUCUGGACAGUGAGGAAGUAUCACCUGUGACUUGCUGCUUAAGCCUCCUCCUCAGAAUUGUAAUUGCUGUGCACUGUGCUUAAGCUGAUAGUACUUCUGAGUCUUUUUAGAACACUGAGCCUGUAAUUUAUCUUAUUUCAUGGAGAAGCUUCUACCCAUCAACCACUUGGUUAAAACUGUCCCAAUGGACAGGUCCGGUACCAAUCACUGCAGCCUCCAGCUGUCCAGAAGAGGGGCAGCUGGAGUCUGACGGUGCCUUCUGGUUAGAACAGCACAGGGAACCGGUUUGCGAAAGAGGCCUCCCCCACAGCCAUCUCAGCUGCUCCAAGGAUGCUUCUGCAGAAACCCCCAAACAGCUGAGUGAGCAAGGAGGAAAAGGCUUCUCUUGGGGAUGUCAGCUGGCCUCCUGCCCAAGCCUUCAAGGCCAGCUCAAGAGCCACCUAAUUCAGGAAGCACUGUGAUGGUGGCUGUGUUCCUGGGGAAGAGGCUGCAGCCUGUCUUGCUGAGUUCCCACCAUGGAUAUGCCUCGUUUAAUCUUCCU